rnacentral:rRNA from 1 species
UCAAACGAGAAAUGGCUUACGGGGGAUACCUAGGCACCAGAGAUGAGGAAGGGCGUAGUAAUCGAUGAAAUGCUUCGAUGAGUUGAAAAUAAAAAUAGAUCUGGAUAUUCCCGAAUAAGUCAACCUUUUAAACUAGUGCUGAAUCCACGGGCAGGCAAGAGAGAACCUAGCGAACUAAAACAUCUUAGUAGCCAGAAAAAAAAUAAAGCAAAAGCAAUUCCUAUUGUAGUGUCGAGCGAAAUAGGAGCAGCCUAAUUUGUGAAAAUGGGGUUGUAGGAGAGAAAUACAAGCGUCGUGCUACUAGGGGAAGCAGCUUGAAUGCUGCACCCUAGAUGGUGAAGGCAUCAUUAGUUUACGCUCUGACCCGAGUAGCUUGAGGCAUGUGGAAUCCUCUGUGAAUUAGCAAGGACCACCUUGCAAGGAUAUGUACUCCUAGGUGACCGAUAGCGAAGUAUGUGAGGGAAGGGUAAAAAGAACCCUUAUCAGGGAGUGAAAUAGAAUAUGAAAUCAGAAGCUUCGAAGUAGUGGGAGGAUCCAAGGAUCUGAUGGCGUGCCUGUUGAAGAAUGAUCCGGCCACUCAUAGGUAGUGGCUUGGUUAAGGAAGCCAAUUCGAGCCGUUGCGAAAGCGAGUUUUCAUAGGGCAAUUGUCAUUUCUUAUGGAUCUGACUCUGGGUGAUCUAUCCAUGACCCACAUGAAGCUUUAUUGAAAUUAAGUGGAGGUCCGAACCGAUUGAUGUUGAAGAAUAAGCAGAUUAUUUGUGGUUAUGGGUGAAAUCUCACUCGAACCCAAAGCUAGCUGGUUCUCCUCGAAAUGCGUUGAGGUAUUGGAUUUGAUUGGACAUCUAGGGGUAAAGCACUUUUUUCGUGCGGACUGCAAGAGUGAUACUAAAUUGAGGCAAAUAGUGAAUGCUAGAUAUGACCUUAAAAUAACAUGAGUCAGGCUCAACUAGUAAGACAAUGGGGGAUAAUCUUCAUUGUCGACAGGGAAACAACCUGGAUCACCAGCUAAGGCCCCCAAAUGACCGCUCAAUAAUAAAGGAGGUAGGGGUGGAGAGACAACUAGGAGGUUUGUCUAGAAGAAGCCAUCCUUGAAAGAGUGUGUAAUAGCUCGCUGAUUGAGCGCUCUAGUGCCGAAGAUGAACGGGGUAAGCGAUCUGCCGAAGUUGUGGUAUGUAAAAAUACAUCGGUAGAGGAGCGUUCUACCUUAGAGAGAAGCCUCUGCGCGAGCGUUCUUUGAUGAAAUGGAAGUGAGUAUGUUGGCUUGAGUAACUCAAACAGUAAUGAGAAUCGAAUGCCCCAAAAAUCUUAGGGUUCCUCCGCAAGGUUCAUCUACGAAGGGUAAGUUAGGGCCUAAGAUCAGGCCUAAAGAGGUAGUUGAUGGACAACAAGUGAAUAUUCCUGUACUACCCCUUGUUUGUCCCGAGAGAUGGAGGAGUCUGGGUUAGCCAAAAUAUCAGUUCAAGAACGUAAGGUGUCCCUACUUUUUCAGGGUAAGAAGGUGUAGAGACAAUGCCUCGAGCUGAUGUUCAAAUACCAGGCGCUACGACGCUUAUGUAACCAAUGCCAUAAUUCUAGAAAAAGCUCGAGCAACAGUAAGCAAGAGGGUACCUGUACCCAAAACAUAUAGAGGCGGGUAGUUAGAGAAUACCUAGGGCGCGAGACAACUCUCUCUAAGGAAUUCAAGAAAAUAGCCCUGUAAUUUUGGGAGAAGGGGUGCCUCAUCACAAAGGGGGUCGCAAUGACAAGGCUCGGGCGAAUGUAUACCAAAAACAUAGGUCUCCACAAAGUCAUAAGACCAUAUAUGGGGGCUGACGCCUACCCAGUGUCGGAAGGUCAAGGAAGUUGGUGAACGGAUGAUAAGGGAAUAAAUGACCGAAGCCCAUGUGAACGCCGUCUGUAACUAUAAUGAUCCUAAGGUAGCAAAAUUCCUUGUCGGGUAAGUUUCGACUUACAUGAAAGGCGUAACGAUUUGGCACUAUCUCGGAGAAAGGCUCUGUGAAAUAGACGUGUAUGUGAAGAUGCGGACUACCUGCAUGUGGAUAGAAAGACCCUAUGGAGCUUCAUUGUUCCCUGCAAUUGGCUUUGGUCCUAUCCUGCGCAUCUUAGAUCAAAGGCAAAAAAGGCCUCCUUUCGGUGUGUGUGUGUGUGGGGGGGGGGGGCUUGAGCCAUCAAUGAGAUAUAACCCUGAAAGAGAUAGAAUUCUAACCUUGUGUUAAGACCUGCGGGACAAGGGAUAAUCUCAGGUAAACAAUUUCUAUCGGCGUAGGCCUCCUAAAAGAUAACAGAGGCAUGCAAAGUUUCCUCGGGUCGGACGGAGAUUGGCCCUCGAGUUCAAGGUAUAAGGGAGCUUGACUGCAAGACUCACCCAUUGAUAAGGGACGAAAGUCGGCCUAAGUGAUACUACGGUACCGAGUGGAAGGGUCAUUUCUCAACAGAUAAAAGUUACUAUAGGUAUAACAUGACGAUCUUCCCCAAUAGCUCACAUCAACGGGAAGCUUUGUCAGCUCGAUGUCUUCUCUUCGCCAUCUGGUGCUGUAGUAUGUUUAAAGGGUUUGGUUGUUCGCCCAUUAAAGCAGAACUUUAGCUCUGUUCAGAACGUUGUGAGACACUUUGGUCCAUAUCUGGUUUGGGUGUUAGAGCUUUGAGAGGGAAUUUCCCUAGUACGAUAGGAUGGGGAAGGAUGCACCUCUAGUGUACGAAUUAUUAUGCCCAUGGUAAACACUGAUAGCCAAGUACAGAGUGGAUAAUUACUGAAACAAUCUAAGUAGUACGCCAACCCCAAGAUGAGUGCUCUCAUAUUCUAACCUCCCCAGAGAUUUCAGUAACACAACCGAGACAACGACGAGUUCUCUUCCCCUACGACGAUUGAGCGACAGAAUUUUUUUUGAGAAUUCAAGCGAAGGUCAUGGCGGGACAAACCAUUUAUCAUUACAAUAAGUGUCAAGUGAAAGUGAAGUAAUGUAUGCAGCUGAGGCAUUCUAAAAGACCAGUAGACUUGAACCU